AUGAUUUGGAGGUUUGAAUAAAAAACGCUGAUAGUAAUAUUGAAUAGAAAAACCACCAUUUCUUUUUUCUUAAGAACAGGAAACACAGAAGCAUGACACAGAAAACAAACACUAAAGUAGAAAACAAACAAAAAAAAGAAAGCAUAUAGAAAACAGACGAAAACAUCUAUAAUGAAAAACAUAAACCUCUACAUAGCACAGAGAACACAAACAACACACCAAAUUUAAAGAUAGAAAACACGCAUGCUGAAAUCAUAAAGAAAAACAGAGAGGAUAGUUUUUACAGUAGAAAUAGACAACCAACACACACACACACACACACACACACACACACACUAAACCUUGCCAAGUAGAGAACACAAUCAAAGGUAUAUUCAAGUAUCUUUUUUUUUUCUUUUUUCAAUUCCUAAUCAUAGGCGUUCAAUAAUUUCAGCAUCAUUCAGCCAAACACCUCAACAAACGCCCCUUAAACUCCAUAAAUUCCAAUAACAUUAUGUAAAGCUUAAGAAAGAAACUUCGCAGGGAUCAAAGUGGCAAGGAGAACAGGAGGGGGUAAGCAGAUGGGGGGUGGGAGUGAGAGGGGGCGUAGGACCGGCAGGGGGCGGGAGGAGGAGUGUAGAGCCAGUAGGAGGGCGGGAGGAAGGAUUGUAAGUCCAGCAGGUGGCAGCGGGAGGAGGCGAGACAUCAGUGGAAGGGCGGGAAGACUAGAGGUGAGAGGCAAGGUAACAAAAUGAGAGGAAGGAAAAGAAUUAUAAAAGUCUUGCAAAGAAAUAGUAAGUAACUCUAUAGGAUAUUCAGUUGACAAGAAGAGAAGGUGGCAGGGGUGAUAAAAUACUACCCAACAAGUAAUAGAGUGUUAUUCCACUAAAAAAGGGCAGGAAAUAAUAGAUUCUGGCUCGAUAAAGUUAUUCAAAGAAGAGAUACGAAGAAACUGGUUCUUAAAUAGAGUAGGACAUGAAUGGAACAGACUCCGCAAUUAGCUUGAUAGUGCUGAAAUAUUGGGGAUCUUUAAAAGAAGAAUCGACAGAUUUAUAGAUGAGAAUGAUAGAGUGAAACAGGCAGCCAAACAUAUAGGAACUGCCACAUGUAGAGCUGGUGGCUUCUUGCAGCUUCCCUUAUUGCCUUAUGUCGUUAGCAAUCAAGUUGUAUGUCCCGAGCAUGGAUGAGGAUGAUAGGUGGAAACGGGCAUACGCGUUUUUAUACAGGGACUGGCCACGUGUAGGCCUGAUGAUUUCUUACAGCUUCCCUUAUUUUCUAAUGUUUCUUCUAUAUGGUUCAUGUGUGGUUCAACUGGGAGUUUUAAGACAGCAGACGAAAUUACAGAUGAUUACAGAUGAAUGAUAGGUGGAAAUAGAGAGGCAUGUUUUAUACAGGAACUGCUACGUGUAGACCUGAUGGCUUCUUGCAGCUUCCCUUAUUUUCUUAUGUUCUUAUUUUCUAACCCAGACCAACAAGACGUACGUGAUCUACAUUUACCAGCCGGACGAGAACAAGAGGCACCACGCUUACGAGAUUGUGGCGACGUGCCUUGGUAUCAACGACAGGGAUAUCCACGAGAACCUGAGGAUGAUGGUAACUUUCCCUUUCUUCGGUAACCAAGUCUACCUGGUGGCGUGCCCUGUGUCUCCUUACUGCCGGCCAGGACGUGGAAAAGUUAUCUACUACCCAAACGAAGAAGAUUAUCACUACGCCCUUCAAAACUCAGUCAUGAAGCCAGCCCUCGAGGUGUCCUACGCCCUCAGGACUCCCCCGCAGGACCCCCGGCAGGUGUUCGCCCUUGAGAAUAGAUACAUUGUGAAUUAUACAGGAGGAGGUAGCACCCCGGCCCCUACAGAGGAUGACCUACUUAGAUAGAGGUUAUGGGUUGGGGUGUUUAUAGAUGGGUAGAUAAAGGAAGGUUUUAUAAUAUGAUACUUUUGUUUCGGUCCUUGCUGCUCUUGUUAGAUAGACAAGGUGGGUGACUGACAGAAGGUUCAGUAUUAUAAGUAGAUAGACAGGUGGGUAGAUACAUAGUUAGUUACUUGACAACCUUUAAAGAGAGAAAAAAAAAUGCCUCUCAACUCUAGAUAACUUCUCUUAGAUAAACAAAUAGAUUGAUACAUAGUCAGAUGGAUAGAUAGGUAAGUAAAUACAGACAGAUAGACAGUUAGUUAGACAGGCAGACAGGCAGUCAGAUAAAUUUCAAGCGACCACAUCUGACACAAAUAUACGACCAUUUCUUAAUUUAAUAAUAUAUAAUAUAAAAUAAUAACCUUUUUAUACCAUUACAAAAAUUCCCUUACACUCAAUCACACUCCCUCACUCUUCUUCACCCAUAAACACUCCUAAAAAUCUAUCCUACAAAACCUUUCCUAAUAUCCCAUCCUUCCUCCUCCUCCUCCUCCUCCUCCUCCUCCUCCUCCUCCUCCUCCUCCUCCUCCUCCUCUUCCACACUCACAGGUAAUUCAAACAUACACACACCCACACCUAGCACUACUUUAUCAUGUAUUAAAUUGAACCGAGAAUUAAUACCAGAAUAUUCUCGUAAUUUGUCAGACAGUCCAACGCACGCCCGGGGAAUUAUUGCAGUCCACCCUGUUAGUUCGCGUUUUCUAUGCACCGUACCCUGGGAAUAAUAGGUGAUUUUGAUAUGGAUAGGGAUCUGUAGGUAAAUGUAAUGUGCUUAUUGGUGUUACUGCCUUGAAUACUCUCUCUCUCUCUCUCUCUCUCUCUCUCUCUCUCUCUCUCUCUGCUUAUGUUUUAUCCCGGAAAUCGACCAAGGAAAUAAACACUGGAAGAAAAGAAAACGUUACACUCUAUCAAGUCAUUUACUGCAGUGCUUUGAAAUGGAAAAUAAACAAGUAAAUGAAUAAGCAGAUAAAUUAAUAAAUAAGGGAAAGGAAAACGAGUCUUGUAUACCUCACGAAACGUUAAAGCAAACCCAAACACACCUGAAACACACCUGAACCCACGUAAGCCAGGCUCAGCACAAGUGUCAGUUUGCGUCAGUCCACACCUGUGCGGUUAUUUCCUCACUGAGUCAAGGACGUGACGAAAUGAAAAGAGGAAGGGAGUUGAGGUAUAAUAUUCUUCUCAGACAGGCAAAGAAAAUAACUU